rnacentral:rRNA from 1 species
AGUGAACGCUGGCGGUAGGCCUAACACAUGCAAGUCGAUCGGCAGCACAGUAAGAGCUUGCUCUUACGGGUGGCGAGUGGCGGACGGGUGAGGAAUACAUCGGAAUCUACUUUUUCGUGGGGGAUAACGUAGGGAAACUUACGCUAAUACCGCAUACGACCUACGGGUGAAAGCAGGGGAUCUUCGGACCUUGCGCGAUUGAAUGAGCCGAUGUCGGAUUAGCUAGUUGGCGGGGUAAAGGCCCACCAAGGCGACGAUCCGUAGCUGGUCUGAGAGGAUGAUCAGCCACACUGGAACUGAGACACGGUCCAGACUCCUACGGGAGGCAGCAGUGGGGAAUAUUGGACAAAGGGCGCAAGCCUGAUCCAGCCAUACCGCGUGGGUGAAGAAGGCCUUCGGGUUGUAAAGCCCUUUUGUUGGGAAAGAAAAGCAGCAGGUUAAUACCCCGCUGUUCUGACGGUACCCAAAGAAUAAGCACCGGCUAACUUCGUG